GCUGCCGCUCGGGUCCGGCUGCGGGCCACAGGCCGCGGAUCGCGCUCUGCCAGCGCCCCACGCCCGCAAGCGCGGCCCCUCCGCCACCUCGCGGCCCGGCCUGACCUGUUAAUCACGUCCCCACGGCUCUCCUAGCGGGGACACCGCCGUCUGCAGGCUCCGUCCCCACCGUACCCAGACCCCGGGAAGUUUGUCAGUCAGCACCCUGAUGCCUCUCAAAAAGCCAGGAGGAUCCAAGCAGAUCAUUUGCCAGACGGUACUGCAGCAAUGGAGAUGAACAGAUAAUUCACACAGAAAGAAGGAUGAGGGACUGGAUCAAGCUGGGGCGAGACAGAGUGGAGAAGUGAUGAGCUAAGAAAAAUUAGCCUGCAAGCAUGACGUGUCGCACGUCAGCAAGGCUGCAGCCUUGGAUUCUGAUGUCUUGAGAAGAGCGAUUCACCUGUGAAUUCUCACAGCCCUGGCCUCAGAAAGACGGCCCGGGACCAGGCCCGAUGGCACCCCUCUUCCCAGCUCUUAGCCAGGGCGGAAGGCACAAGUGAUGGCCCUGGCCUCGGCAGUCACACUCCUCCUGAAAGCUGACUGGCUGAACCUCACCUCUUGGCUAGCUUGCCACCCAGCUCCUGAGAACAUGUUUGUCCAAGGCCUCUUGGCAGGUCUCGAUGACUCCUUCCCCUAAGGGCCCCCAGUCACCUGCUAAGGCUCCCAGGCCCCUGUGAAACUGGCUCGGUGCCCCAACAGACUCUUCACCUCCAGAGCCUGAGCCGGCCAGCCCAGAGUGCAGCAAGGCACCACACCUACCCUGUGAGGGCACUCGGGCCCCGCGCUGGCCUCUGACAGCACAGGAAGCUCCUGCACUCACGCUGAGGCCUGUAUUUUGCCUUCCUUGGAUAAAUUUGCCAGAAACCCCAUAGUACUUCAGGCCUUUGGGAUAAUUCCCCUGAGCCCCAUAGGCCAGGGCCUGGCAUUCAGUAGUUGCUCUAAAAUUGUGUUUUCACCCACUCUCCUCCAGGCAGUCAGGACAGGGAAGCCCAGGCUUCUGGUCACCACUCACCAAAUCUCUCCCCUGCCCGUCUAUCAGGGAUCAGCUCCUGUAGGCCUUAAACUAGCAGACUAGGUAAAGCAGAGCUGGUGGCAUCAAGGGUCCCGGGGGCUGCAGAGCCCUGGCUGGUACAGGAGGCUGGGCUCUCCUGUAGGUCUGCACCUUCCCAGCAAUGCGGAGGGCACCAGACCCUGCCUGCUCCAGAGGCUGUACCUGAAAGAUGAAGUGCUCGUCAAA